rnacentral:rRNA from 1 species
CUUGGUCAUUUAGAGGAAGUAAAAGUCGUAACAAGGUCUCCGUUGGUGAACCAGCGGAGGGAUCAUUAGCGAGUUAAACAAACUCCAAACCCAUGUGAACAUACCUACUGUUGCCUCGGCAGGUCGUGCUGUGCGGUGGUGAUACCUACCCUGGAGUAGGAACCUACCCUGUAGUGACCUACCCUGGAGUGGAGCUACCCUGCAGCACGCAACCAGGCCUGCCAAAGGACCCCUAAACUCUGUUAUAACGUACCUCUGAGUCAACUAUACAAAUAAGUUAAAACUUUCAACAACGGAUCUCUUGGUUCUGGCAUCGAUGAAGAACGCAGCGAAAUGCGAUAAGUAAUGUGAAUUGCAGAAUUCAGUGAAUCAUCGAAUCUUUGAACGCACAUUGCGCCUAAUAGUAUUCUGUUAGGCAUGCCUGUUCGAGCGUCAUUUCAACCCCCAAGCGCUAUUUAGCUUGACGUUGGGAAUUUACAGCUGCUGUAAUUCCUCAAAUUUAGUGGCGGAGCUAGGUCAUGCUCUGAGCGUAGUAAUUCUGUUCUCGCUCCUGAAGCUGCCCUAUAUCCUGCCGUAAAACCCCUAAAUUAUAAUCUGGUUGACCUCGGAUCAGGUAGGAAUACCCGCUGAACUUAAGCAUAUCAAUAAGCGGAGGA